rnacentral:rRNA from 1 species
GUGUCAGCCGCCGCGGUAAGACGUAGGGUCCAAGCGUUGUCCGGAUUUACUGGGCGUAAAGAGCGCGUAGGCGGCCUGUUAAGUGUGAAGCUAAAUCUCUGGGCUCAACCCAGAAACUAUUUCGCAUACUGGCUGGCUGGAGUGAUGCAGAGGUUUGUGGAAUUCCUGGUGUAACGGUGAAAUGUGUUGAUAUCAGGAGGAACACCCAUGGCGAAGGCAGCAAACUGGGCAUCAACUGACGCUGAGGCGCGAAAGCGUGGGUAGCAAACAGGAUUAGAUACCCUGGUAGUCC